rnacentral:rRNA from 1 species
GUGAGGAAUAUUGGUCAAUGGGCGGAAGCCUGAACCAGCCAAGUCGCGUGAGGGAAGACGGCCCUAAGGGUUGUAAACCUCUUUUGCCGGGGAGCAAAAGCGCCGUGCGCGGUGCUAUGAGAGUACCCGGAGAAAAAGCAUCGGCUAACUCCGUGCCAGCAGCCGCGGUAAUACGGAGGAUGCGAGCGUUAUCCGGAUUUAUUGGGUUUAAAGGGUGCGUAGGCGGACAGUUAAGUCAGCGGUCAAAACGGGCGGCUCAACCGCCUGCCGCCGUUGAAACUGGCAGUCUAGAGUGGGCGAGAAGUACGCGGAAUGCGCGGUGUAGCGGUGAAAUGCAUAGAUAUUGCGCAGAACUCCGAUUGCGAAGGCAGCGUACCGGCGCCCGACUGACGCUGAGGCACGAAAGCGUGGGGAUCGAACAGGAUUAGAAACCCUAGUAGUCC